UAGAGUUACAACUACAAAUACGACAAAAUGCUGAAGAGCUGCAAGAUUUUGUGAAAGACUUAGAAAAUGGGAAAAGGAAUUAAAGAAAAGGAUUGUGAUUGAGGCGGCAGAGUGGAGCCCAAGAAGAGGAUUUGCCACCAAUCCGAAUGAAGCUUAUAGAAAAAAGAAGAAAACUAAAGUUAAGACAGUAUCCAAAAAACAACGGAAGAAAA